ensembl:piRNA 21ur-2779 ncRNA
UACUUGGGGUUCAGCAUUUAU